CCAUCUACAUCUUUCCUCAUCUCGUCAGGAUCCUCAUCGGCCUCUUCCUGGGCGUGACGACUCCUGCCACACAGGCGCUCCUGGCUGGCUGGGCGCCGCCCAUGGAAAGGUCGACCAUUUCUUCUUUUGUGUAUGCAGGUGCACCGGCGGGAACGAUCGUGGCCUUCCCCGUGUCUGCCUUCAUUAUCGAGACGAUGGGCUGGGAAGCGGUGUUCUACCUGCAGGGAACUCUCGCCCUUCUGUGGUGCAUCGGCUGGUACUACGUCGUCACCGAUUCGCC